CCUGCCCAAGAGAUCGGGAUAACACCUGGAAACAGAUGCUAAUACCGGAUAACAACAGAUGAUGCCUAUCAACUGUUUAAAAGAUGGUUCUGCUAUCACUCUUGGAUGGACCUGCGGUGCAUUAGCUAGUUGGUAGGGUAACGGCCUACCAAGGCGAUGAUGCAUAGCCGAGUUGAGAGACUGAUCGGCCACAUUGGGACUGAGACACGGCCCAAACUACUACGGGAGGCAGCAGCC
rnacentral:rRNA from 1 species